rnacentral:lncRNA from 1 species
UCAUUUGCUGAAGCACCUCCCCCAGUGCUCACCAAACUUUAAUCUGCAUGUCAAUCACCUGGGCGUCUCGAGAAAAUGUAGAUUCUGAUUUGGUAGGCCUGGGGUUGAAAGUGAGACUCCGUAUUUCUAAUCAGCCCCAGUCGAUGUCAGUGCUGCUGGUCCUCUGACCACACUUUGAAUAGCAAGGGAUCAGAAUACAGCAUUCUGUCCUGAAAGGUGGGAAUGGGAAGGCCAGACAGUGUCCAGAUAGAACACUGGGAAAAUUCUUGUGGCAUUCAAUGGAUUAGAAGAAUGUUGUCUGCAUGUAUGAUUUUCUUCUUCCACUUAUAGCAUUUCUUGGUUGCUUGGGAGUAAACAAGAAGAAAACAGAAAGUAGAAGUUGGUUGCAGAAGGAACUGAAGAAAGGGAUUUGGGAAAAAGCAGAAGGUCCAGAAUACUGAAGGUCCCAGUGAAGCUGAAAAGCUGUCACGGUGGAAGUGGCUGAAAAAGCAAGCUGGAAGACAAGGAGCUUAUGAACGAGGAUUUUGAAAGUGAAAAAAUUACAGAUGAUGACAAGAUCCAAGAUGUGGCUCUGGAAGAAUAUGACUGAUAUGGCAUGGGGUGACAAUGGCCUCAUUGUGAUUUCACACCCAAGGAGGAGAAAGAGGGCUGAUGAGGAUGGUCAGCUUCAGUGCACUCAUGACCAAAUGCUGGGAGGUGCCCAAAAGAGAAAAUAAAUAAACUCGAGCAAGCUGAUUUUAAAGUUACCCCAUGGGAUAGAAAUAUUUAUUAUCUCCUCAGUUACGAAUGCUUAAACUCAUUUGAACCUUUAUAACAACUCUUAUCUGGUGCUUGAACAAGAAAGAUAGAGAAUCAACUAGGAAAAAUGCUUCCUUACAGCGGAGUGAGGUUAGAAAAAUGCACUACAAAGAAAUAUGUAUUGUGUUCUUUCAAGACUGACCAUUGUAGUGCCAUGAAAGGGCUGGCAGAUCUCUUGGGAAGAAAAUGUACAGAAAAAACUGAGGCCCUGAAAAGUGACUUGACCAGAUUCACACAAGUGGUUAGAACCCCAGACUCAUGAUUCUUUUAUUUAAGACCUGCAGCGUUAUUGAGAAUAAAAAUUAAAAGUGGAAUUAACCAAUUCAUGUUCUAGGAGAGAAGAUGGAAAUAUUUGUUUGUAAAGCCAUAAUUGCCUUCUCUGGGAAAACACCAUUUUUCAAUACCACGAAAAUUGUGUAUCAGGCCCAUGGAGAGUUUGGCUUCCCGUGCAGAGGGUUUGGUCCAGUUGAAGAGUUAUUGGCCUAUGCCUAUCAGCUGUCACAGUAUCUUUAUCAACAGGAUCUCCGUCUAGCAAAGGUGCACUGCCAAAUAUGCACCUCUCGAAUGUGGUGAAGAUCAAGUGCGUGUAUUCAACAAUUGAACCUGCAUCUCUGGGUUCCAGGUUCAGGAACCACAAGAACCAUGUGAAAUCCCAGCCCUGCCAUUUACUAACUACGUGACUGACCUUGGAUCACUUGAGAUGAAAAUGAAUGAGUGAUAAAAAAGAAAGUUGUUUCUCGAGGAAAAUGAAGACAUCAGCUUCCUCCAUAUCUGCCCCCUUCCAGAGUUGCCGGUGCCGCCUGACUCUGAGAUUUGUAAGAGGAAAUGACCUCAGUUUGCUACAGGGCUUACGCAGAGGCUCCACUAACUGCUGCCCAGUGGUAUGGAUUGUGAACUCUCCUUCUUCCCCUCUCAUGCCAGCUCCCAAAAAUAACCCAGUGGGAACAACCCAGCAGCCUCUCCCUCAAGACCUGCAAAUCAAAGCCCUGAUUAGGUCAAAGGAUGGGAAAUGCGGCUGCAGAGCUACUCAGGGGCGCUCUAAUGCCAAGGGCGUAGAAGACUUCCUGUUCCCUCGGAGGCUGGCUCAGAGCCACAAGGCAGACUUCACUCAGGAGACCUCGGCCCAUCUCUUUGGCUCCUUGAACCUGAUGGGAUUCCAGAAGUCCAGAGAUGAACACUGUCCAACCUACACUUGCCGGACCUCUGACGGAGGAAAGCCCGAUCUUGCUGGGGAUGCCUCACUCCCUGGGAAAGUUAUUCCCUCUGGCCCUUCCUUAUGUUAAAUGAGGCCAGUGAGAAAUGUUUUUCCUUCUUCAUUUCUGAUGGGGACAGUGAGAGCAGCAACUAGUAUCACUGUGAUGUCACCUUACAGUUUGAAUGAAAAGAAUAGGAAAUAGUCCCUGCCCCAUAACUAAGAUAGGCGUUUCUGGUAGGCAUUGAGGGGAAGUGAUAGAGCAAAUGGGGAGGGUUGGUGGGUAGAAACGAGCAUAGCAAGUGCUCUGCAACAGAGAACAGCAAACUGCCAAACUACAGACAGCUCCUUGGUCCAAUCUGGCCUCUCACCUGUUUGUAAAUACAAU